CCUUUGGAAGUUGUACACACACACCCAUAUUCAUUAUAUAUACGUAUAUAAAUAUAUAUGCAUACCUAUAUAUCUAUAUCUACAUGCAUACAUGCAUUGCCCUCACUCUUGAUUUGAGUUGUUACUCUCGUCGGUGUCGCUUCGCUCUCGUCCGCUAAUCAUCAUUUUCUUUUCUUCUUGUACCCCAGCGCAACCCCUCUCCCCGCCCGACAGACACCCCUGACUUGGCGGGGUAGCGACAGCCGCAUGAGCAGUGCAGUGAAGCUGUCCGUGGGGGAGAGAUGUGCUCGCCAGCCCGCGCCCUCUUCAAGGGGCUCGAGCAAGGCAGGGUCGGAGAGCGCAUUCGCCAUCAGCCCCGAAACACUGCAUGAGCUCAUCAGCGAUGGAGGUCAUGACGCAACAAAACGGCUCGCCAGCAUCGGCGGGCUCAAGGGACUCGCCUCGCAGCUCAAGACUGACCUUGCGCAUGGCAUCGACAACAACGACAAGAAGGCAAUCACGCAGCGUCGCGAGUGGUUCUCCGCUAAUGAGCUGCCAGAGGCGGAGGAGACGUCGUUCAUGGACAUGGUCUGGGAGUCGCUCGAGGACCGCAUGAUUCAGAUCCUAAUCGUCAGUGCGGUGGUCUCGCUUGUGCUGGGGCUAACAGUGCCGGAUCAGGACACGGGGCUUGUGGACUACGCCCACGGUUGGAUCGAGGGCACCGCCAUCCUGCUCUCCGUCACCAUUGUUACUCUUGUCAGCAGCAUCAACAACUACCAGAAGGAGCAGAAGUUCAAGGAGCUGAGCAAGGCCACACCGCCGGUGAAGGUGCAGGUGGUCCGCUCCGGCACCACACUGGACAUCACGGACAAGGAGCUGCUCUCCGGCGACCUGCUCAAUGUUGCUGCGGGUGACGUGCUGACGGUAGAUGGCCUCGUCCUGCGGAGCACCUCGCUGAAGGUUGACGAGUCUGCCGCGACAGGCGAGAACGACGAUGUGGCCAAGUCGGCGCACGGCGACUUUGUGCUCCGCUCAGGCUCGAACGUUACGGAGGGCGAGGGCACGAUCCUCGUUAUGGGGGUUGGCGUGCACUCCUUUGCCGGACACAUCGCAAUGCACGUGCGGGAGGCGAAGGAGGAGACACCGCUGCAGCACAAGCUUGAAGAGCUUGCGAACCUCAUCGGCUACAUGGGCAUGGUCGCCGCCGGGCUCAUGUUGGUGCUGCUCAGUGGCAAGGAGCUUCUGGACACGGUUGUCUACCGCAAGCACCCGUUCGGCUACAAGAAGUACCUCGACAACUUGAUGACGGCGGUGACGAUCGUGGUCGUGGCGGUGCCGGAAGGGCUGCCGCUCUCCGUCACCAUUGCACUCGCCUACAGCAUGAAGCAGAUGUUCAAGGAGAACAACCUCGUUCGGCACCUAGCGGCCUGUGAGACCAUGGGUGGCGCGACCACAAUCUGCACCGACAAGACCGGCACCAUAACCCAGAACGACAUGUCCGUGACUGACGGAGUGACGGCGUACGGUGUUGCGUAUGUGGUGCCCCGCAAGCCGUCCACCUUCGCCGGAGAGGAUGAGAAGGUGAACAGCGGUACACUGGCCUCACCGUCACCGCUGCUGCAGACGUCCACGCCCAUGGACGUGUCUGCGGCUCUCGGCGGCGCGCAGGCCGCUGGUGUGCGCCGGCUUCUCAUGGAGUGCAUCGCCAUGAACACCAAGGCUACCUGGGUCCGGGUAGAGUCGCUCGAAGCGAAGCAGGCGACGGUGAGGCUCACUGGCAGCAAAACGGAGCAGGCGCUGCUGAACUUUGUGGAUGCGCUGGGCGAAGACCCGAUGCAGCUGCGCAGCGAGCGGCUGUCGAGGCUCAAUGAGGAGGCGAUGCGUACACCGUCGUCUCCGUUCUCGCUGGUGCCGUGGCCUACGGGGCUGGCGGGGACGAGCAGCAACGUCGUGGCCGCUGCAGCGACUUUCACUAAGGAUCUCCGCAUCUACCCCUUCACCUCGGCGCGCAAGCGGAUGGCGACGGCGUUGGUGCUGCGACCGGAGAAGCUGGUACGAUACUACGUAAAGGGGGCGAGCGAACUGAUCCUGGCCGAGUGCACACACACGUACGAUGCGCAGGGCGAGCGCGUUGGUCUCUCCCACGAAGUGCGCGUGCGGCUGGAGGAGGCCAUCAUGGCCAUGGCGCGUCGUCAGCUACGCACGCUUGCCAUCGCCUACGCAGACUAUCCUCUGUCGGCCGACUACAGCGCCACACCGCAGGACUCCAGCAACAGCGAUGAGGGCGGCGCUGCGCCGUCGUCGCCUUUUCUGGCAGACGAUACACAGCUAGCGGGGUUGACGUUGGUGGGCAUCGUAGGAAUUCGCGAUCCGGUGCGCCUCGAGGUGCCUAGGGCUGUGGCGCAGUGCCGUCGGGCCGGCGUAGUUGUGCGCAUGAUCACUGGCGACAACAAAGCCACAGCUGUGAGCAUUGCCAAGGAGGUGGGCAUCUACGGCAAGGUCUGGUUCGGGCCUGCGGAAGGGGAGCAGGGGCUUGCGCUGGAGGGGCCGCAGUUCCGCGAACUUGCGAAGAGCGCGCGAAAGCUGAAUGCCAUUCUGCCCCGUCUGCAGGUCAUCUCCCGCGCAUCCCCGAUGGACAAGCACAUCCUCGUCUCAGCCUUGAUGAAGCGCGGCGAGGUGGUGGCGGUCACCGGCGACGGCACCAACGACGCGCCGGCGCUGAAAGGCGCCAACGUCGGGUUCUCCAUGAACUCCGGCACCGAGGUCGCAAAGCUCGCCUCUGACGUCGUCAUCCUGGACGACAACUUCAGCACCAUCGUGACCGCAAUGAAGUGGGGUCGUAACGUGCACGACAACAUCUGCAAGUUUCUUCAGUUCCAAAUGACCGUGAACGUGGCCGCCGUCGUGGUCUCGUUCACUGGCGCGCUCCUGGACCGCAACGGCGAUUCCCCGCUGAAGCCGGUGCAGCUCCUGUGGGUGAACCUAAUCAUGGAUACGCUGGCCGCCUUGGCGCUGGCGACGGAGACGCCGUCGGACGAGGUGCUCCUGCGGCCGCCAAAGCCGAAGGCGGCCCCGCUCAUCACCCGCCGUAUGUGGCUGAAUAUUGCCGGCCAGUCCCUCUACCAGAUUCUCAUCCAGCAGUACCUGCUCUUGGGCGGCGCCAACACUCUGGGACUCGCUGUGCGAGACUCUGAGGAGUUGCACACCCUCAUCUUCAACGUCUUUGUUCUGAUGCAGCUGAGCAACGAGUUCAACGCCCGCAUCCUCGACGACUCCGUGGCCUUCUGGCACAACCUGGGCAAUGCUCCGAUGUUCAUCACCGUUGUCGGGACGAUGUUUGUCAUUCAAAUCGUCAGCGUUCAGUACGGCGGCACCCUCAUGCAGUGCGUGCCUCUCCCGCUAGCCUCGUGGGUGACGUCCCUCGCCCUCGGCGUUGUGCCGCUUCUCCUCGGCUUUGUGCUGCGCAGGAUUGGCGUUGUCGAGAGGGAGAUUCCGCCCCCGCUGCCAGUGGUGGACACGGAGGAGGAGGCGGCACUGCAGCUGGCGCUGAAGCAGCACGUCUGCCCCACGCUUCGGGACACCGUGGGAAAAGUGCGGAUGCAACUACGGGUGCUGAAGGCCUUUCGUGAGAAUGCUCAGGAACAGAAGGCAGCAAGGAAUCGAAGCAGCUGAGCAGGCGGCGGGGUACCGGCAGCUACGCGCAAGCACGCACCUCUGUGAGGAGCCGAGCUUUCAUGUCCUGCGGCUUCCUUCUGUUGAGGAGGGGCUGCCAUGCAUGACAUGGCGGUCACCCCUUCCACCGCUUCAUGCGCCACAGACCUUUGAUCUCUCACUGUCUAUCGCUGCCUUAUAUAUGUGGCACCGUGUCGUGGUCCUGCGAAACAGAGACAGACACGGAGGGCCACACCAACAGUUCACGCGCUGAAGCGGAGGCGGGAGGUGCAGCGUCACGGACAGGUUGGGCUUUCAUUUGUGUGCUGCGCCUCUCCUUACCGCCUUUAUUUCCAUUCUCUAUUACUUGUUCGGCGGACCGCUGACGUGUCCGCAGCGCAGGCGCUGCGGGGCUUUAUAUGCAUUGACUUACCGUGUUGGCGUCGUGUCCUACACACGUAGCAGGUGACAUCUGACAGCGCAUUUUGUGUGUGUGUGUGUGUGUGUGUGUGUGUGUGUGGCGGGGGGCGCCAGUGCCGGCGCUGCUAGCUCGCCGCGUGCACCUCUCCUUUUAUCUUUUUUUUUGGUCAUUGGGAGGGGGGAGCUGAAACACAAGGACGAAGUUGAGAUGCUUGGAGAAAUCGGCUACGCCAGAGGAGCCGACGCCAACUGCAUGGAUGACAGACCCGGUCAUCGGUUUCAGACGCCAGGUCAACACCCCUCGAAAUAGCGCUACACGCUGCGGCACGCAGCUACAAGAGCUCCUUGGCGGCGGCUGUCCCACACCGGAAAAACAAGGAUGCUGAGCUGGCGAGGCGACAGGGAGACCCUCCUCCCCCAGCUCCGCACCGGCACCUGCCCGCACUUUGGAUCCCUGCAGCGGCGGGCGGCUGGCAGCGACUAGGCGGGGUGCGGAUGAUGUGCUGCCCGCUGCUCCGCUGGCCUUUGGGGGGGGUUACCCCCACCCCCACCCCCGCCUGUGCUUUGCUGCGAAGGCGCCUGACCCGCCAUUGUGCCCCGCAUGCCACGCGCGAUUGGCGAACUACGCGACGCUCAAGGCGCACCUGGCUUCACGCUAUGCGAUCGUGCACGCGAUGGCCUGAUGAAGCGCGUCUCACCCGCGCCGCACGGGCUUCCACUGUCGCGUGUGCAUGGCGGCCCCGGACCACCCUUCAGGACGACAGGCUAUGAGCUCUGUGUGCGCUGGCCCACGCUGGCGCGCGGGCCCCCCGUCGCUGGACGCACCCCGCUCCCGUCAGAGGCCUGCGGAUUCAGGAGAGGGCGAAAUGCCCCCGUUCCGCCACAGACUCAUAGCAGCGUCCCAACUGUCGCGGCGCAUGCGUGCAAGCCGUCCAGGCUCCCACUCCUCCAGACAACAACAUCGUUCUGGAGCAGGCCCCAGGGUCCAAUGGUGCGAGCACUGUGCGCACGGACUGUCAAGCACCGCUGGCAUGGCGUAUCGAAUACGAGCAAGGCAUCCAGAGGCCAGAAGGAGCACGAAUGAUAGACGAGAACGGCACGAGGAGAUCUAUAACAAUGAACCCCACAAUGCAUGUGUGCAAACACAUGCGGCGUCUCCUACAUCCCGACCGGGAUGGGCUGAUGGGGCACGGGUGCCAGAAGCAUGCCGAGAACACCAUCGAGUCCUCCAGCUUCCCAUAUGAAGAGCAUUCACGUCGUACUAUGGGACGCUGCGGCUUGAAGCGGCUCAGGAAGAUUAGAGGGUUUCAGAGAACCCUGACCUGAGGCUGGCCAGCUUCCCCCUUGAGCUCAUCCAGCAUGCGCCUAGAUCACCCCCUAAUACCCAAGCCACAGACGCCAUCACCACCGCCCCCGAGCAGACCCUUGGACGCGGCCCGCUUGGAUCAAGGCAUGCAGUCCACCCGAGCGUCUGUCUCGUGCUAAUCACGCAGCAUGUGUGCCAAGAAGAGGGCGAGCAAGGACACGAAGCGUUCGUUAGACACAUGGCCGGAUUCAGCGGCAGCGAGAGAGAGAGGCUGAUGAGCUACGGUUGUGUGCGUGCGCAUCUUCGUUUGACCUGAUCCUGGUAGAAUGGCCG
rnacentral:misc_RNA from 1 species